GACGAACGCUGGCGGCGUGCUUAACACAUGCAAGUCGAACGGAAAGGCCCUGCUUUUGUGGGGUGCUCGAGUGGCGAACGGGUGAGUAACACGUGAGUAACCUGCCCUUGACUUUGGGAUAACUUCAGGAAACUGGGGCUAAUACCGGAUAGGAGCUCCUGCUGCAUGGUGGGGGUUGGAAAGUUUCGGCGGUUGGGGAUGGACUCGCGGCUUAUCAGCUUGUUGGUGGGGUAGUGGCUUACCAAGGCUUUGACGGGUAGCCGGCCUGAGAGGGUGACCGGCCAAAUUGGGGCUGGGAUACGGCCCAGACUCCUAAGGGGAGCAGGAGUGGGGAAUAUUGGAAAAUGGGCGGGAGCCUGGAGCAGCCACGCCGCGUGCGGGAUGACGGCCUUCGGGUUGUAAACCGCUUUCGCCUGUGGCGAAGCGUGGGUGGCGGUAAUGGGUAAAGGAGCGCCGGCUAACUAAGUGC
rnacentral:rRNA from 1 species